rnacentral:rRNA from 1 species
AGUGAACGCUGGCGGUAGGCCUAACACAUGCAAGUCGAACGGCAGCACAGUAAGAGCUUGCUCUUACGGGUGGCGAGUGGCGGACGGGUGAGGAAUACAUCGGAAUCUACUUUUUCGUGGGGGAUAACGUAGGGAAACUUACGCUAAUACCGCAUACGACCUACGGGUGAAAGCAGGGGAUCUUCGGACCUUGCGCGAUUGAAUGAGCCGAUGUCGGAUUAGCUAGUUGGCGGGGUAAAGGCCCACCAAGGCGACGAUCCGUAGCUGGUCUGAGAGGAUGGUCAGCCACACUGGAAGUGAGACACGGUCCAGACUCCUACGGGAGGCAGCAGUGGGGAAUAUUGGGCAAUGGGCGCGAGCCUGAUCCAGCCAUACCGCGUGGGUGAAGAAGGCCUUCGGGUUGUAAAGCCCUUUUGUUGGGAAAGAAAAGCAGCAGGUUAAUACCCCGCUGUUCUGACGGUACCCAAAGAAUAAGCACCGGCUAACUUCGUG